UUUCAGAGCUGCAAGCAAAGAAUGGAAAUUUCCAAUUGCAGCAUCAAGGGCUGCUGUUCUGCUGACUGUCUUGCUCAGCCGGGGUCAUCUGCUUCUCUAAGACAUCAAGGAAUGCCAAGAGUCUUGCUCUGUUGUCCAGGCUGGAGUGCAGCAGCAUGACCAGAGCUCACUGCAGCCUCAACCUCCCAAGCUCAGGCGAUUCUCUCACCUCAGCCUCCUGAGUAGCUGUGACCACAGGGUCUCCCAGGCUGGAGUGCAUGGACACGAUCACAGCUCAUUGCAGCCUGGACCUCCCCGGUUCAAGCAAUCCUCCCAUCUCAACCUCUUGAGUCUCUGGAACCACAGGUUAUGAACAAUAGUGAUUGAGAGCAUCUGCAGCAGUCCUUGGUGCCUAGUACUGAGCCUUGUACUAGAAAGGAUGACACAUCAGUUCAAAGGAUGACAACCAUCUAUCUGGUUGCAAAAACAGGGUACUUCACCUUCCCUACACCCCAAAGGGUGUACGACAGGUAUACAAGGCGACUCUUGGAGCAAAGAUAGGGCCAGCCGAGGUGGAGCAGGUUCUCUCUCAGGCAGAAACCAACUAAAAGGAGAAGGGAGAGGGAAGUCUGUUUUUCACAGCAGCACAGCAGUGCUAGCCUUCUGCCUUGAUCUUUUAACAAACUUAGGAAGAUUCCGACAUCUUUAAGCCUGGGAAGAUACAGUGUUUUCAUUUGAUGACCAGCAAACUAAAGGUCAACCUGAGAAAGUUGAUUCUUGACAUAUUUCCAACAAGGGUCACUUGUUUCAUCCCAACGGACUCCAAGUUAAGAAUUAGAAACCUCAACUGUAGUAAAUUACAUGUUUGAAAAACUGAGAGUUUUAAUUACAUGCACAUCCCAAAUGCCAGCAGGGCCCACUCUAUUCAUGUUCUCAUAGCUUUAUGAAAAACUGUUUGUUUGGAAUGUGGUUUUUAAAAGUAAUUUACCUUCAGGUUUAGUUGAAGAAUGGAAUGUGUGAGAAAAUAAUUUUUCAACUUCUCUUGACUCAGCGAUGAAAAGGAAAAUAUGUUUAUAUGAAUAUGGCUACUUGUUGAUCUAAGACAUUUGAAAUUUCACAUGCUAAAUGCUAAAUCCAAUUAUAAAUUUCAAACAUAAUUUCUAAGACAUACCCUUGUUCUAAUACUACAGAACCAACUCGCUGGGCAUCAACUGGGCAUCAAAUUAACUACUCCUGUAAGGUUACACUAGAGUUACUAGUGGGAACAUUUCAUUUGGGGAGGCAUAAAGACAGGUUACAUGACACUUUGUAAGUGGACUUGAACUAAAGGAUAUUAGAAAUAAAUAGAAACAACAAAAAUAAAACAUGACUAAACCAACUCUCCUGCCACCAUCAAAACAAAUGUUUCCAAGGAACUGAAGCCAAGAAAAUAGAAAUCCAAAAACACAAAGGCCAAGGUAAUGAGUUGAAUCUACUAAAUCUCUAUAAAUGACAACACAAAACACGAAAAACCCAGCAAUACCAAAACCCCACCUACACUGAAGAACACCAGAGAACAUGGACAUUUUCUGCCCCACUGCCUGCCACAGAAAUCCGAGCCUGCAGCUGAUUUUAAAAUGACCAAAUCUCCAAAACUCCUGAGAGAUGGCUGUUUUAAAGACACAAUAUCUUUGAUCCUAUAGGUCAUGUCCACAUUAACAUAAGUAGUAAUUAUUAAAUAAGAAGGAAUCUCCUUCAUUCAUUUUAAAAAGCAAUUCUUUUUCAUUUAGAUUUGCCACAGAGCCAGACCAACUUAAUUGUUAAGGCACAGUAAUAUUAGACUUAAGUAUUUUUCUUCUUCUUCAUCUUUUUUUUUUUUUUUUUUGAGACUGGGUCUCACUCUGUCACCCAAGCUGGAAUGUAGUGGCACAAUCAUGGCUCACUGCAGCCUUGACCUCCUGGGCUCAAGUGAUUCUCCCACUUCAGCCUACGAAGUAGAGACUACAGCUGUGCACUAUCACACCUGGCUAAUUUAAAAGUUUUUAAAAAAGGAGUCUCACUAUGUUGCCCAAGCUGCUCUCAAACCCAUGGACUCAAGUGAUCCUCCCACCUUGGCCUCCCAAAGUAUUGGGAGUACAGGCAUGAGUCAUCAUGUCCCGCCCUGAACUGUUUUUCAAUCCAAUUUUUCUUAUGGAGAGAAAGCUGGACAAUUUAAACAAUUAUGUGUUUUAUUUCUCCAUUUCUGCAUUCCAUUCUUGCUAAUAUACAGGUGUUGAAUUUUAUGUGUUUCAUUCUUAAUGUUUAUGCCUUGUCUUCUUCUUUUUUAGAAAACUUUAAACCAUUCAAAAGGCUGCAGGUAAGUGUUAGUGGCUAGUUCCUAUGAAUAACAAGUCUAGUCCAUACAGCCCAGUAUGUCGACCUGGACAACAGGCCAAAUUCUGCAGAUGUGGUGGUUCAUAUGUGUAAUCUCAGAUCUUUGAGAAGUGGAGGUGGGAGGAUCACUUGAGCCCAAGAGUUCCAGGUUACAGUGAGCCAUGAUCAUGCCUCUGCACUCUAGCCUGGGCAACAGAACGAGAUUCUGCCUCAAAAACAAAAGAAAAAUUCUGGCUGCCCUGAAAACACCCUGAAUGCCUAAAGCAUAGUAAAUCUAAAGCUUGUACCAUAAUGCUUGUCAAUGGUUAAGUUCAUGUGCAUUUCAGACUUCACCAUCACCCUCCCACCAUACCAUGAUACCACCAUACCACUGAUGCAAGAACUACACAGUCUCUUUGUAUCCGUGUGACCGUUUCUUCUCAUUUGGAUACAGUAUCUGCUAACAAGGAAGGUCACUUGAAAGAGAACUGAACUUGGAAUCAGGGUCCAAGUAUGUGAGUUCCAGCUCUUUGGGGAACUAGAUGAGGCAAUUUAGUGCAGUGGAUCAACAUCUGCCUGCUAAACUCAGACUGUAUAGGUGCAAAUCCUGGUUUUCCACUUUCUAGCUAUGUGACCGUAGGCAAGUUUCUUUUUGAGACGGAGUCUUGCUCUAUCACCCAGGCUGCAGUGCAGUGGGGUCAUCUUGGCUCACUGCAACCUCUGCCUCCUGGGUUCAAGCGAUUCUCCUGUGUAGGCAAGUUUCUUAAAUCUUGUAACUUGGUUUUCUUAUUUGUAAAAUGGUGAUGAUAUCAAUAACUACCUUACAGAGUUUUUGUGAGGAUUAAGUGUCUGAAAAAUGGUUAAGAACAGAGUCGCAGAUAUUCUAAGCACUCAAUCAAUAUGGGCAAUUAUUAUUACCAGCUGUAUGACCUUGGGGAUCUCAUUUAAGCUCUCUGAGAUGCUAUUUCAUCUUCUGCACAAGUCAUGAUCUCACAUGAUCUUUAUGAAGACUGAAUAAACUCAAGUAACAUAUAUAUGAAGCUAUUUUUAAAACAUAAACAAUGGCUGGGGGUUGGUGGCUCAUGCCUGUGAUCCCAGCACUUUGGGAGGUCAAGGUGGGUGGCUCACCUGAGGUCAGGAGUUCGAGACCAGCCUGAUAUGGUGAAACUCUGACUCUACUAAAAAUACAAAAAAAAUUAGUUGGGUGUGGUGGCAGGUGCCUAUAAUUCCAGCUACUUGGGAGGAGAAUCACUUGAACCUGGGAGGCAGAGGUUGCUGAGAUCAUGCCACUGCAUUCCAGACUGGGCAACAAAGAGAGGCCCUCUCUCAAAAUAAUAAUAAUAAGUAAAUAAAACAUAAUCAAGUAUCAGACGACUCCUUCAACCAAGUAGAAUUAAUUCCUUUCUGCUCUUUGUUUCCAUAAUACUUAAAAUAACAUACAUGCACCUGCGAUAGCACUUGUCACAAGGUAUUGUAAGGAUUUGCUCACCUGUUCUUCUCCCCCACUGACAGCACAUCCUCCAAUUCACCUCUGCAUCCUUAACACAUUGGACAUACCUGGCACAGGACCAAUGCUCAAUAAAUAUUUGUUUAAAUGAAUAUCACUGAAGCAAUUGCACAGGAAUUCUCAAGGCCUUUGCCGGGAAUGACUGAUUAUCACUUUUGCCAAGGGUCCUUGGUAGACCACCCAGAAAUGUGCUUUUCUUCAGGCACAAUGUAUUGAGAUUCUGUCAUUUCAGAUGCUGCCAAUGUAUUUGUUACAUUUGUUCUUUCUUUCACUUAAAUAAUUAGUGAGCACCUUCUGUGUGCCGGGUCCUAUGCUGGGCUCCAUAUAGUAUACCCAAGUGGCAAAUGACCAGACUAAUCACAGUUCCUGCAUAUUAGAUAUAAAGGGAACCUGUGUACUAUAGAAUCAUCCACUCUUUGAGAUAAGAUACUCCUCUGUUUAAUUAUUUCAUUAGAGUGAUAGAAUCUCAAGGUGGGAAAGAAUGGCUCUUUUGAGCCAUUAUACUUUACUUUUAUUUCUAUUCACUUACUUUAGAGACAAGGUCCUGCUCUGAUGCCCAAGCUGGAGUGCGGUGGCAUGAUCAUGGCUCACUGCAGUCUUGAACUCCUGGGUUCUAGUGAUUCUCCUGCCUCAGCCUCCCCAGUAGCUGGGACUACAGGCGCACACCACCACGCGCCACUUAGGGACCUUAUAGAAUAAUGAUUAAGGUUUGGGAUCUGACUGCCUGGAUUUAAAUCCUAGAUCGGCUUUGUGCCAAGGUGUAAAACCUUGAGCAAACUGCUCAAUCCCACUAAGCCUCACUUUGCUCAUCUGGAAAAUGAGCUAGUGGGAUGUGGUAGAGAUGACAACCACGUUAAUCACUGACUAUGGUGCUUGCCAAACAGUAAGCAGUCACUAUGUUUUGCUAUUAUAAACAAUCUGUUCUCACAUCCUCACUCCACGGAUUGAACUUCUAUCACAAGUGCACCCAGUGAAUAAGGCAUGACUGCCCCACUUCCAGGUACCAGGGUCAGGGAAUGAACUACCUCCACUGGCUGCUAGGCAAAUCUAACAGUUGACCAAUGUUAAUGGGUUGAAAUAUACUUACAUACUGCCAUUUGGGAUUACCCAGAAGAAAUCAAAUCUCUCCUCUGCUGGAUAGUCCCACAAACUUUGAAAGGUAGCUACAUAUGCUAGUUAUCACCAUCUCCCUUACACACCUACAUACAACCUUGGAUCUUUUCGUUAUUUCUGAAUAACUCUGUGCACCAGAUUUCUUAUUAUACUUUUAACUUUCCUCAUUUUUACUUUGUUUAUCAAUGUCUCUGAAUGUCUGCAGCUCAGAAUUUAUAAAACAGAACAAAUGUGGUCUGAUCACCAGUGAGUACUAGAGAACUAGCUCCCCUCUUGAGCACUACAUUUCUAUAAGUACAACAAAAGAUUGAUUUUUUUUAAAAGCUACAUCCCACUGUGUCGACUCAUCACCUUCUUACCAUCAACAGGAGACUGUAAACCUUCCUGCCAUGUGUAGCUCAGUACAUCAUCUCGCCCCCACUCAGUACUUUUACAAUUCAAUUUGGGGAUCUUUGAGUACUUUAUAUUGGUAUCCAUUAAAUGCUAUAUUGUUAGAUAUGAUUCAUUAUUACAUUUUGUCAGGAUUGGGGGCGGGGAGAGAAUCCGAUUGUAUCCUCCGACUCAUUUGUUAUUCUUUUUAAUGUGUGUCAUCUGUAAAUUUGUUCAGCAUACCAUCAAUGUUAUUGUCUUAGUCAUCGAUAAAAGUGUUCAGGGAAAAACCAGACUUUCAUUAGAUCCCUAGAGACCCAAAUGUGCAUCAGCCUCUUUGAAGAAAAAAAGAAAACAAGGGCCGGGUGUGGUGGCUCAUGCUUGUAACCCCAGCACUUUGGGAGGCUGAGGAAGGAGGACUGCUUGAGGCCAGGAGUUCAAGACCAGCCUGGGUAAUGUAGCAAAACUUCAUCUCUAUUUUAAAAAGUAUAAAAAUUAAAAAGAAAAACUUGCAAAAGACAUCAUUCAUUCAAUCAAAAAAUAUUUACUGAGUUACUACUCCAAGUGCUGAGCAUCUAGUGCUGAACAAAAUAAUUGCCUGCCCUCAUGAUGCUUACAUUCUAGAAGGGGAGGUAGACAAUAAACAAUUAAGUGUUUUGGAAAGCAAAAGCAGUUAUGAGGCUAGAAAAAUUUGACAGUGGGGAUGGAGUGGGGUUGUUGAUAGGCAAUGUGGCUAAAGCAGUUGUUUCUGGAGUAUGGCUGAACUACUCACGUCUUGCAUUAUUCACCUGGCCCAGAGUGGGCAGCAAGUCUUUCUGAUUCUCAAAAUCCACUUUUCUUUUUCUUUUUUAUUUUUUUGAGAUAAGGUCUUGCUCUGUUGCCUCUACUAGCGUGCAGUGUUGUGAUCAUGGCUCACUGCAGCCUCAAACUCCUGAGCUCAAGUGACCCUCCUGCCUUAGCCUCCCAAGUAGCUGGGACUACAGGCACAUGCUACCUAUAAACACUGGGAUUACAGUCAUGAGCUACUGUGUCCAGCUGAAAAUUCACUUUUGUGUAUGCACUUUUAGAAAAAAAUCAAUAGAACAAUGAUGAAGAAUUUUUUUUUUUUUUUGAGAUGAAGUCUUACACUGUUGCCUGGGCUGGAGUGCAGUGGUGUGAUCUCGGCUUAUUGCAACCUCUGCCUCCUUGGUUCAAGCGAUUUUCCUGCCUCAGCCACCCGAGUAGCUGGGAUUACAGGUGCCUGCCACACGCCCAGCUAAUUUUUUGUAUUUUUAGUAAAGACAGGAUUUCGCCUUGUUGGCCAGGCUGGUCUCAAACUGCUGACCUCAUGAUUCGCCUGCCUCAGCCUUCCAGAGUGCUGGGAUUACAGGCAUGAGCCACCGCACCCAGCCAAAGAAUUUAAAUACCUAUGAAACAGAAGAGAAAAUGUAAAAGGAUGGAAGUCUUCAGAAGACUUCACAACAUUUCUUUGUACACGUAGCAUAUUCAAACAUUGUGAAACAACUAGACUAGUCAGGAGUCCAGUCACAUCUUCUGAUGAAGACUCCAGAGAGAAGAAUUGAAAAAGCAUUACUGUACUGGUACAGUACAUUGUUGACAAGUAAAGAGAGAAAGAACUACAACGUCAACACUUACCGAAUU